CGGUCCCAUCAGCUGGGUGGCAAUCUUCAGUUCUUCAGCAGAAGUGCCGCCCUCCUGGAGGGCUGAGGCCUUCCUGAGGAACAAGCCGACUGUGGAGCGGUACUCCUUCAGCCGCUGCGCGUUGGCCUGCAGGGACUCGGUGGACUUAUUCCGCCUCCUGGGAUCCACACAAAUGCCAGUGGUCCGGGCCACCCUCUCGUGAAUGUCGGCCACCCUGAGCUCCUCCAGGCUGAAGCCUUCGUGUGGUACCGAACCGUGGGGCAGCGCACGGUGGGCCGAAUGGGGCGCGGGGCUCUGCGGUGCGCCUUGGCUUGUCCGGCCUUGCGUCUACGUAUCUUCCGGGCCGGCGGGUUGAACCACGUGGCCACGCGCCGCUGCCAGUGCUAGUGGAAGUGGGGCUUCAAGAUGAUGUCGUUCCGGCUGGGCGCCAUGGCUGCCUAGGGCCCUGCGGCUCCUGCUCAGGACAACAGCCGAGCCGAAAGGAAGCGGCGCCGCAACGCCUAAACUUAAAGACAGGGUUUCACCAUGUUGACCAGCAUGGUCUCGAUUUCUUGACCUCGUGAUCCACCUGCCUCGGCCUCCCAAAGUGCUGGGAUUACAGCCUUGAGCCACCGCACCCGGCCCAGAAUGGUUUCUUAAACCCCCUUUUGUUCACAACUCCAGGUGGGUAUGCAGGAUUCACUCAACAUAUCUUUUUGUGGAUCUUGAAUUGCCAGUUACUUGUUCAGGUGGUGCAAGUCACCUGUUUAGUAGGGCAAAGACAGAGGUUUGCAUAAUAAUAAUAAUAACUAC
rnacentral:lncRNA from 13 species